ACGAGCUGAAUGUAAAGUGAAACCGCGAACAGCUCAUUAAAUCAGUCUUUGUUUACUGGAUGGAAGGGCGACCGUAGAUGGAUAACUGCGGAAAUCCUGGAGCUAAUACAUGCCAUUGACGCCGCGACGUUCGAAAGAACGGAGCGCAGCCUUUAUUAGACCGAAAACGGACCUACCCGCCUCGCGGGAAGGUCCCCCGGUGACUCCGAGUAACCGACAGUCGAUCGCAAGGCCGUUUGUGCCCGCGACGCAUCCUUCAAGGGUCUGCCUCAUCAACUAGACGGUUCGCAAACCGCCGACCGUGGUGGCGACGGGUGACGGGGAAUUAGGGUUCGAUUCCGGAGAGGGAGCCUGAGAGAUCGCUACCACAUCCAAGGAAGGCAGCAGGCGCGAAAAUUACCCACUCCUGGCACGGGGAGGUAGUGACGAUAGAUAACGACGCGGACUUCUCCAAAGAGGAUCCGCGAUCGGAAUGAGCGCAGAUCAAAUCCUUCGUAUAUCGAGGAUCGA
rnacentral:rRNA from 1 species